CGCGAACGGCUCAUUAUAACAGCUAUAAUUUACUUGAAUUUGACAACCCUACUUGGAUACCGGUGGUAAUUCUAGCGCUAAUACAUGCGCCAAAGCUCCGACCGCGAGGGAAGAGCGCAUUUAUUAGAACAAAACCACACGGCUUCGGCCGUCCAAUGUUGACUCAGAAUAACUAAGCUGAUCGCAUGGUCUUGCACCGGCGACGUUUCUUUCAAGUAUCUGCCUUAUCAACUUUCGAUGGUAGUGUAUCUGACUACCAUGGUGAUGACGGGUAACGGAGGAUAAGGGUUCGACUCCGGAGAAGGGGCCUGAGAAAUGGCCACUACGUCUAAGGAUGGCAGCAGGCGCGCAAAUUACCCACUCUCAGUACGAGGAGGUAGUGACGAGAAAUAACAAGACCGUUCUCACAAGAGGCCGGUCAUUGGAAUGGGUACAAUUUAAACCCUUUAACGAGUAUCUAUGAGAGGGCAAGUCUGGUGCCAGCAGCCGCGGUAAUUCCAGCU
rnacentral:rRNA from 1 species